rnacentral:rRNA from 1 species
GGGUCGGUUCGGCCGGAUUUUACACAAGUGUUGCAUGGCUGUCGUCAGCUCGUGUCGUGAGAUGUUGGGUUAAGUCCCGCAACGAGCGCAACCCUCAUCCUUAGUUGCUAUCAGGUAAUGCUGAGUACUUUAAGGAAACUGCCAGUGAUAAGCUGGAGGAAGGUGGGGAUGAUGUCAAGUCAUCAUGGCCUUUAUGGAGUGGGCUACACACGUGCUACAAUGGUGUCUACAAUGGGCUGCAAGGUGCGCAAGCCUAAGCUAAUCCCUAAAAGACAUCUCAGUUCGGAUUGUACUCUGCAACUCGAGUACAUGAAGUUGGAAUCGCUAGUAAUCGUGGAUCAGCAUGCCACGGUGAAUACGUUCUCGGGUCUUGURCACACUGCCCGUCACGCCAUGK